CCAGCAGCCGCGGUAAUUCCAGCUCCAAUAGCGUAUAUUAAUGUUGCUGCAGUUAAAAAGCUCGUAGUUGGAUUUGUGGUGGGCCCGGUGGCUCGGCCUUAGUUGGCCGUUGCUGUUUUGGGUCCGCCAUCCUUGGGUGGAAUCAGUGUGGCAUUAAGUUGUCGCGCUGGGGAUGCCCAUCGUUUACUGUGAAAAAAUUAGAGUGUUCAAAGCAGGCUUACGCCGUUGAAUAUAUUAGCAUGGAAUAAUGAGAUAGGACCUUGGUACUAUUUUGUUGGUUUGCGCACCGAGGUAAUGAUUAAUAGGGACAGUUGGGGGUAUUCGUAUUCCAUUGUCAGAGGUGAAAUUCUUGGAUUUCUGGAAGACGAACUACUGCGAAAGCAUUUACCAAGGAUGUUUUCAUUAAUCAAGAACGAAAGU
rnacentral:rRNA from 1 species